GGGGCCACCACAGUCCCUCUGCUGAAGCAUCUCACAGAAGGGGGCCAGGUAGCAGCCCAGCCCAGGAUAGCCCUGGUGGGCUGUAAGGGCGAGGCUGGGGGCAGGGGAGGGAGAAGAGGUGAUGCGAGUCAGCCUGAAGGGCCCAGGAACAUUUUAGAGGAGGCGACAUCUGAGACUAAAGGACAAAGAAAACCAGGCCAUGAAGGGGGAGAUAAAGGGAGUCCCAGGGAGCAGGACCAAUGUGAGCAAACCUCCACACAGGGCACGAGAGAACUCAGUGUCCUGGGGAGAGGCAGCAUGUAUGGCCAGAGCAUCUGUGAGAAGAGCAGAUGGUACAGCUGAGGCUGGACAGCGGGCCAGGGCAGAACCCGCCGGACCUUCAGGGGGACAAAAACCCAAAUAAGCUAUCAAGGAUUAUAACUACAAUGCAUGCACAAGAUCAUACUUAGAAACUCUGAAUCACUCUGCCC
rnacentral:lncRNA from 1 species